CUUUCUCAGCCGACGGGUACC
rnacentral:miRNA from 14 species